GGGAGGAUCCGGGGAACUACAGGCCUGUUAGCCUGACCUCGGUGCCAGGGAAGAUUAUGGAGCAGAUUGUCUUGAGGGAGAUCACGCGGCACGUGCGGGACAACUGGGGGAUCAGGCCUAGCCAGCAUGGGUUCAUGAAGGGCAGGUCCUGCUUGACCAACCUGAUCUCCUUCUAUGAUCCAGUGACCCCACUGUGUCCAGUUUUGGGCCCCUCACUGCAAGGAAGAUAUCGAGGUCCUGGAGCAUGUUCAAAGACAGGCAACAAAGCUGGUGAGGAGUCUGGAGCACAGACCUUAUGAAGAGUGGCUGAAGGAGCUGGGAUUGUUCAGUCUGGAGACGAGGAGGCUCAGGGAGGACCUUAUUGCUCUCUCUAACUACCUGAAGGGAGGUUGUAGUGAUCUGGGGGCCAGCCUCUUCUCUUGUGUGACUAGUGAUAGGACUAGAGGGAAUGGCUUCAAGCUGCACCAGGGGAGGUUCAGGCUGGAUGUUAGGAAAUACUACUUCUCUGAAAGGGUGGUCAGGCACUGGAAUGGGCUGCACAGAGAGGUGGUGGAGUCACCAACCCUGGCAGUGUUCAAGGAGUGUUUGGACGUUGCAUUGAGAGACAUAGUUGAGUGAGAACUAUUGGUGGUGGGUGGAUGGUUGGACUGGAUGAUCCUGUAGGUCUUUUCCAACUUUAGCGAUUCUAUG
ensembl:lncRNA